UUUGUUCAUGUUCUCCAUGUACUUUUACAAGAAGUACACCUUGAAUGCAGGCGUUUGGAGUACUUUUUCCAUUUAGUGUUCCCUCAAUCAAGUUUUCUAAUUAAUUAUCUUCCUAAAUUCCCGUGUUGGAUUGAUCUGCUGGCAGAGUAACUUUACCUCCUCCUCAUGUCUGGUCUUUGCUGACCAAACUUGUCUCCGAACCAAAACCCUGUCACCCAAAGAGAUUUAACCAAUAUUAGCUGCGUAUCUAGAUACUGUAUGUUUCAGAGCAUUAGCUUCAGUUGCCUCCCAGCUCGGUGCGCAAGCUUCAUGAUCUAGGUAACGUACUGAAGGAUGUAGCUAAUGCAGUUAACGUUUGUGAGACUUUUAUACACAUAUUGUGUAGAGCAGGUGUUUUCAAAGUCUGACACUGGGGGACUCCCCAUAGACACUCGACAUUUGAGCCAAAAUAACCUAAUAUUUCUGUUUGACAUAACUUCUGGCUUGAUUGUUAUAACCAAAGUUUGUUUAUUUCUCACGCAGGUUACCAUCUAAUGGCCAUUUGUGUAUUCAUUACAUGGAUAUAAAUGAAUGAAAUGGGCCGUUUUGCUAUUUACUGAUUUAAAGAUAAAAUAACAUAAGCUGAGUAAAGGCCCUCUCCUGCUCCAAGCCCUGUCUGAAGGCUCAGGGUGAAAGCAUUACACUCCACUCACGUAACAUACCGCAGGCCGAGCUACUGCUGCGAUAGAGCGGGGAUCCAAAACGCGAGCGGAGCAGGAAUGGAAGGGCCAAAUAACUCGCUGAGCCUCAGCAGGAAAAUAUCCCAUGAUGCUUGACUGCGCGCAGCAAGCAUAUGUUCACACACAGCCUAAAUGAACACUGUAAGCAGACUAUUUGAUUAUUGUAAAUUAUUCUUAUAAAAAUAAAUAUAUAGGAUGGAUUCUGUCCUUUUGGAUCCAUUGAAAUAGUUGAUCACUGCAACCGUGAUCAUUAUGAGCAGUUUCCACUUUAGUAGGAUAAUGCUCAACCUCAGUGUAGGUGAUAUUGGAUGACUUUGCUGUAAUCGCAGAUCAAGUACAGCACCAGACGGCUUGAUGGUUUUGGGCUCACAGACGGGGAAGGAAUGGAAAGUCUGCGGUCUUUCCUCCGAAGAUUUGCCAGAGUCACAAAGGAGAUGACUCCCUCGCACCGCCUGGACCUGUUGACUGAUGCCCUUCUGCUCUAUGGACGGAGGAAAUCCACUGACCCACGUUUGUCUACAAAAUUCUGUCCUGGUGGUUUAAGCUGAUGACACACAAAUUGGUGGGCAGAAGGAAACAAAAGUUGAGGUGCAGCUCCUGCAAAAAUUAGACAAGGCAGAGAAAAUAUCAAUCCUCGCUCAAGAAGACAUCUCAUCUGUCAUCAGAGAAGCACCAGUGUUUGUCUCAGAGCGAGACAUGGAGAGAUGGAAGAAAAGGAAGCUGGAGCUAGCCCAAGAAAAACCAAAGUCAAUAAACACUGUCUGUAGAUGGAAAAGGGACGACAUCACUAAGCUGAUUCAGUUCUACAUGUUCAAAUCUGGGACUCGUGAGUCACACAUGGAGGAUGAAACAGAGUAAGUAAGCAGUAUCAGUCUGUUACUGUUCUCUGAUUAACAGUCAUUUUUACUCUCUGACCAUUGUAGAAAGAGAACUCUCUGCUAAACAUGGAGAAAAAACAGAGCAUUCGGAGAAGAUGGCAAGAAUCUGAUUUAAUCUUCCAGUCCACCCUUAAAGAUGACCGUGAUGUCAGAGGCCAACUGAUCUGGAAGGCUAGAGCUGAAUCAAAGGAGAGAGCCGUCCUCCUCCAUCUGAAGAGGAAAUAUCCAGCUAAAGUGCUGUGGAUAAGUAGAUCAAUUUAAAACUCUGUAAAGGACCAUCAUAACGAAGGCGUGUCUAUUUUAUAACUUUACUUUAGAUGGGCAGGGCGUUGCCGUUAGACUGUCCAAGCAGGUUGCCAACUCCAACAAGAGACUGAGACAGGCAAUAAAAGAGUACAACAGCAUUCAGUGGCCACCACAGAUGAGCAUCUUCCCUGCAACUAUUGAUUUUCAAGAAUCAUGUGAUCCCUCUCGGCCACUCUACUUCUGUUUUGAUGACACUGUGGAAGAAGAUGAUGUUCCGAGGAGUCUGAAAAGGCGAGGGGUCGACGCCUUACAUAUGAAGACUCGGCCGCUGAGGAAAAGCACACGCUUUACCAGGAAAUGAGAACUGUAGCUGACCACCUCCAACAGCAGCACGCCUUCCUGUGUUCUGCCAUCAAUGACACAGAGCAGCCAGGUGCAAAAGCUGUCCUCAUCCAACGUCUCCAACAGCUGGAAAGAAAACUACAUCACGCCGCUACGAUGCUUCACCAACGUGUACCAGACGUCGUUCCUGCAACGCACGCUUACGUCACCCCAGACGACCCCCGCCUGUCUCGGGCCCUCCCCAUGUCAGCAUACAGACACUGGUAUACAGCGACGACGAUGAUAGCAACUAGGUCUGUAAGCACUCUAGACGAGGGGAGGUUUUCUGCUUCUGGAACGAAUACUUUGAGCAAAUUUGUACGUUUUGUUAUACAUAAUUAAAAAUGCCUCCUUAAUUCAAGACUAACUAACAUGCGUCAGACUCAGACAGUUCGGUUCUGUGUGUGUCUUCAUUGUAAGUGCUCUCAAUCAAAUUAAGGCUGUGUUGCUGAUCACUUUAUUAGUGGAACUGCAACAGAGUCCGUGUUUGUUUUUCAUGAGCUGUGAACUGUCCUGCCAAUUGAAACAAAAAAUGGUUGAAACUUGCUGUUUUGGACAAUAAACACUGUUUUUGUAGA